rnacentral:rRNA from 1 species
CCGGCGUGGAGGUAGGAAGGACCCACCGGGUUCGUGAAACUUCUUUUCCCGGAGAAGAAGCAAUGACGGUAUCUGGGGAAUAAGCAUCGGCUAACUCUGUGC